AUUAAGAUUGGGAUUAGGGUUACGAGUUGUGACCUUUGGAGUUCUUUGAAGCAAUGUCCUCUUCUCCCUCUCGCAAAAAAUGAAAGAGGCUCACGAAAUCGUCUUCUUCGAUCAAUCUUCCUGGCGAGCUUCGGUCUUCAUUACGGCGACAAGAAUAUGUUCACGGCGAUUGCAGAAUCGCGUCGACGUGAAGACCAAAGCGGUGGUGAUGUUGGUGCAAGAUUGUUGAUGAAGAGCUUCGAACAUUGAUGGAGGAAUGAUUCGCGUGAACGAUGGGAAAACCAAUUUCUUGAGAACGAGAAAGUCGAUAAUGGAUGGAGUUUGAAGUUUGUGCUAUCUCUUUCUGCCAACUGAAGGCUGAAGAUGAAGGAUGCUCAAGACCUUCAAGAAAGAAUCGAAGGUGGUGAAGGUGCUGAUGAUUUCAUUGAAUGGAGGGAGAAGAAGUGAAAAGGUUCGGUUGAAUUGAAGGGGGAGAGGUUCUGAAAGUGAGGUAUGAAAUAUGGAUGGUGGAAGGGGAUGAAUGAAGGGUGAGGCCUGAGAUGAGAAGUGAAGAGGGUGAAUUGUGGAAAGUGACGAAAGUUCAGAAGAUGGAGAAUGUGAAGAUGGGAACCGAGUGGAAGAAAUGGUUGAGAGAGGAUUGAAGAUGAUGAAUGAAAUGGGAGUGAAAGUGAAGAGAUGAAGAUGGUGAAUGUGAAGAAAAAAUGGUAAAUGGACGUGGAGGGAGAGCUUGAAGAAUGAUGAAAAUCUUGGUUAUAUAGAGAUGAAGGAUCUCGAUUCUCUGAAGGUUGUGUUGGCUUUUAUGCAGUAUGCUUCUGUUUUCUUAGGAGUUGCUACUGACUGUAUAUGCUUAUCUCAAUGUGAUUGUAUGAACAUGGUUUGAUUUUGAACUAUCAUGAUGUGUAGGCUGAUUUAGAUGCUUCCGCUGUUGGAUUCCCCUCUGGAUUGUAUGAUGAUUUGAGCUAUGACGCAGAACUGGUGUUAAGGUUGGAUCUAUAGAUGAAUUAAGGAGAUUAUGGAGCUGUUGAUGUGAUUUUUGAAGAUUAGAAGCGAGUUAGCAUAAGUUUUGGACGACAAUUUGUAUCGUUUUCUUCUCCGACUUUGAAAUGAAUAUAUUAGAGGUGGAUCAUGUAACCAGUGAAGUGGGAUGUAGCUUUAACUCAAAUUUUUUAAAUUGUAACUUUUAACAUGAGAUCUCCUUGUAUUAUUCUUGAAUAGCAUUCAGAUUCUUCCAUGGACAUUGUGAAUGUAUGAUCUCCUUGUGACUUAGAAUUAUGGUGAAAAUUUUCUUUAACAUAGUGUUCCUCCUUUACCAACAUAAAUAUGAGUUUUAACCUUCUCUUUCAACACCUUUGACUUGAACAGAAACUAUGCACAUGUAGCCACUCGGGUCAAUAUUGAAUAUUGCUCAAAAGUGAGCUUGAAAUCCUCGAUACCAAGAGAGAAGUCACGAGCCACAACUUUGUACCACCAUAAAUGUCUCAAAUUAGUAACUCGUAUUUCAAAUAACUCAUAUAGCCCUUCCGACCUUGCACACACCAAUGAAUUCCAAUCUUUAAUUUAAUGAACAUUUGUCUUUAAUUCCCAAACCAUAAGUGAUUUGCACUUCAAGCGACCAAAUUAUCUUGAGAACUUCUUUGAUGCAUAGAGGAACAUCUUGACAUGAAUAAUUCACUAUAAGGA